ensembl:lncRNA
UGUUGGUCUUACAAGCAAGCUGCACGGUGUCUUCAGGAAGAGGAAGUAGAGAGGAGUUCAAGGAGAACCCAGCCUUGGAAUUGAACUGUGCCUUCCAUUGAAUUCUCUGGAGCAAUGAAGAGAGUCUCAUUCCUUAUCUCUACAUCUGAAGCACUAAGAAGAAGGGAGGGUAAUAAUAUACAAAUUUGUUGAUAUUCGACUGGUGAUUAGAGCCGCAGAAUGAAGGCCUAACAAUGAUCCAUCAGUAAGAGCAGGAGCUGCAGAAUGACCAUAAUUGACAUGCUAUCUGGGAUGGAGGAAGUUUUACAAGGUCCCACCACUGGAUGAAGAGCGACAGACCAUCACCGCUGCUGAGGAAGAGAGACUCCGUUUUCUCUGGGGAGAAGCUUCUUGAAUUUCCAAUGCCAAGUGGACAAGUGGACACACAUGAAUCUGAUAAUAUUAACUGGGCCCAAAAGGGUGUGUGUGUGUGUGUGUGUGUGUGUGUGUGUGUGUGUGUGUGCGUGUGUCGUUAUGUUUGUGUCUGUGAGUGUGUGUGUGUGUGUGUGUGCAUGUCUGUGUCUGUAUGUGUGUGUGAGUGUGUGUGUAUGUGUGUGUGUAUGAGAGAGAGAGAGAGGGAUGGAGGGAGAGACAGUAUAUGUGUCUGUAUGUCUGUCUUUGUGAGUGUGUGUGUCUCUGUGUGUGAGUAUGUGUGCAUGUCUGUGUCUUUGUGUAAGUGUGUGUGAAUGUGCAUUUGCUACGUGACUAUAUUCAUUUGAGUAUGUUCAUGUAUGUGUCUGUGAGUGUGUGUGCGCGUGCGUGUGUGAACAUAUGUUCGUGAAACAAUUUAAGUAUACAAGAAGAGGUCAUGACUCCUAGAGAAAGGGUGAGGGACAAAAGAGGCUGGUGGGGCAGAUAUUAUACAAAUAAAGUGUACCCCUGUAUCAAACACUCAAGAAUAAAAUUUAAAGGCCAUUAUUUAAUAUAUCACAGGUCACUUAUUUACCUGUGUGGGAGAGGAAUAUGG